UACGAAGGGGGCUAGCGUUGUUCGGAAUCACUGGGCGUAAAGCGCACGUAGGCGGAUCUUUAAGUCAGGGGUGAAAUCCCGGGGCUCAACCUCGGAACUGCCUUUGAUACUGGGGAUCUCGAGUCCGGGAGAGGUGAGUGGAACUGCGAGUGUAGAGGUGAAAUUCGUAGAUAUUCGCAAGAACACCAGUGGCGAAGGCGGCUCACUGGCCCGGUACUAACGCUGAGGUGCGAAAGCGUGGGGAGCAAACAGG
rnacentral:rRNA from 1 species